UUCUUCCAUUCUAUUUUUUUAAUAUGCCUCUUUCUUCACACAUUCACUUUAUGUUCUGCAAAUCAGGUAUUAAUUCACAGUUAUUACUGAAAACAAAACAGUUGUUUAUGUACAGCUCUUAUUGGCAAUAAGUUCUUAGUCUUUACCUGUUUUACUCUGUGAUUUGAAAUACAAAAUUCAAGCCUAUUUACUGAUUCACAAUAUUAUCUCAAUAUAGAAUGGGACAACAUUUUUAAUAUUUAGACAUUCUGGAGAUGUUACGGAAUUGUCCUUGCAGAUCAUUUUAUGUAUUGAACAUGCACUGGCAAAGCAAUCAAGGACAAAUAGCUAUGGAAUCUUGUCAGCCAGAGUGGGAACAAAUACUCAAAGCAGUGACAUUUUGCAGCUGUCCAGGCAUAUCCCAUUUUACACUGGACAAAGAAUCUUACAACAGACUCAACUUUCAAGGAAGGAGCUUGAGAAUUACAAACAACCUAUUAUCUAAUCUUAGGCACUGCAGGACACUGAUGUGUGUGUGUGAAUGUACCACUUUAGAAGAAAGGAGGUGGAUUGUACCCAAAAUGAGUGUGGAUUGAGUUAUGCUACAGAGUAUGAGUAAGAAUAAUAAAAGAAUAAGAAUAGCAGGCACAAGAAGAGGCAAGGUGAACUCGGUGCAUUUCCUCUCACAUGGUGAUACAGAUAGAUGGUAGAAAUUAUUCCUGGAUAAAGAAUGCAGCGGAUCAUUUUAUCAUGCCUAGUUUGAUGUUCUGUCAGCCACUGGGAGAAAGUGUCUGCAUGAAUUAAUCAGUUGGAUGAAUUUUCUACUCCAGAGAGGAAGAUGUCACUUGGUAAGUUUUCCCUCAGUGGAAGACAGAGGGAAGUGUUUGUUUGU